rnacentral:rRNA from 1 species
GACGAACGCUGGCGGCGUGCUUAACACAUGCAAGUCGAACGGAAAGGCCCUGCUUUUGUGGGGUGCUCGAGUGGCGAACGGGUGAGUAACACGUGAGUAACCUGCCCUUGACUUUGGGAUAACUUCAGGAAACUGGGGCUAAUACCGGAUAGGAGCUCCUGCUGCAUGGUGGGGGUUGGAAAGUUUCGGCGGUUGGGGAUGGACUCGCGGGUUAUCAGCUUGUUGGUGGGGUAGUGGCUUACCAAGGCUUUGACGGGUAGCCGGCCUGAGAGGGUGACCGGCCACAUUGGGACUGAGAUACGGCCCAGACUCCUACGGGAGGCAGCAGUGGGGAAUAUUGCACAAUGGGCGGAAGCCGGAUGCAGCAACGCCGCGUGCGGGAUGACGGCCUUCGGGUUGUAAACCGCUUUCGCCUGUGACGAAGCGUGAGUGACGGUAAUGGGUAAAGAAGCACCGGCUAACUACGUG